UUUGAAUCCUAGUGGCCAGUUCU
rnacentral:piRNA from 1 species